rnacentral:lncRNA from 10 species
CGUGGUUAUAGGAAAAAAGGAAAGGCAUAUGUUCUUACUCAUACAUUGAUCUACCAUUUCUGACCCUCAUCAUAAAUUUAUUAGUGACUAUUCUGUUAUACUUGUCUUGAAAAACAUUCUAGAUUUAAGUCAAGAUUGUUUUUAAAUUUUCAUCAUAUGUGCUAAAACACCAUGUUCUAAACACUUCCUAAUUACUGCAUAUGCAAAAAAGCAAUUAGAGUUACUUUAUAGUUAGAAACUGGAAAUAAUACUUUGACUCUGGAUUAUAGGAAAAGGUUUAAAAUUGAGAAAUAAUAUUAGAAUAUGGACUAUAAGGAAUUAGGCUAAAAAGAGCCUUUUGUGAAAUAAAAGUGAAAUAAAAGUGAAAUAAAAGGCAGUUUAAGCCUCAGUUUUGUUUAUCAGAGACCAAGGUUGGUGACUUGUUCAGAAUACCAUGGAGAGAAGACAGCAGGCUGUCGUGGAUGCUGGAGUUCACGAGAAAGGUACCUUGUAGAAACAUGACACCCCAAAUCAGCAUAAUUAUGUGAAAGUCAAAAUUUAUUAGAAAGAAUUGUUUCUGGGAAAAAAAGAAAAAAUGACUGGGAAGGCAACAGAAAAUGUGUAUAAAAUUAGGCAGAGAAAUCUGUUUAAAAAGUACAGAAAAAUCAUAACAGAGAAAAUAGUUUUUUGGCUGGGGCAAUUGUUAAUUUACUGUAACAACUGAAGUUGAGAAUUGUACAAAUAUAAGUCUAGUAAACAUGUAUUCCUAACCAGCUGCCCUACAUGGGCAGCAUUGUAGAUGUCUCCAUGAGAGAAGAAAAAUUGAAAAUAUUUUAAUCUAUUUUAUCUUAAAAUUUAUUCCUAUAUUGAGGAGAAGUGCUAAGUCUGCCGAAUUGGGAGGAACCCACCAAGAGUGCUACACAGAAAUUAGUAUCAAUGUACCCCUAUCUAAGCAGUAGGCAUUUUCAUGAGAAAUAAAUAUAUAAUAUAAAUAAAUUUAUUAUUACAUACCCAGCAGCAAAGGUUUAUUUCUCAUGGAGACUUGAUUUCUGCACUUUGAUAGCUGAUAUAUCCUAACUGCAUUUGUCUCAUGAUUUAAUGGUAAAAUUUUUUAUUUUCCAUUAAGGUCAGGAAUUUUAGUUUUGGACAAUUUUUUUUUUUUUAAGAAUUGCCUUCCUGGUUCCACUUUGACUCCAUUACUAAAUGAACAUUUAAAAACUUUCUUUAAAAAAAAGCAAAAAAGAGCAAAACAAAAGAAAAACAGAAAAGCCCCUGCAGAUUUCAAAAACUCUACUGAAGAAAAAAAGCAACAAUGAAAGUCCUCUACUGAUAACAAAAAGGGAAAACACCAGUUUGCUUGAGGAGCUAAGCUUUAGUAUAACACAAGCUUACGAGCCCCUUCUAAAAAAAGUGGUCAAAUGAAAAUGCUUCAGAGAUUGCUGGUGUAUUCUUGAGAAAAAAACAGUUUGGUUGAAAGAACAGUUGCUUUCUGACUUCUGCUAAAAAGUUGAAUUCCAACAUAGUUGUCAGAUGAAACUGUACAAUCCAAAUCUCCUCUUAUUGACAAUGGAAUCUGGUUUUGGGGAAGAAAAGAAAAGGUCAAAAAUAAAUGGCACGUCCAGAGACUGGGAAAGAGCUAGAAAGACGACAAAAUAUUACGUGAUGAUAUCUAUUAAAUAUAUCCAAGUUGAAGUCUACACCCUUGCUACUGAAAGUGUGGCACAAGAACUAGCAACAUCAGCACCAGAUGGGAACUUGUCAGAAACGCAGACUCCUGGGCCCCAACCUAGAAAGAUCAAACCAAGAUCUGCAUUUUGACAAUAGCCUCCAGGCUGGUAGAAUGCACAUUCAGAUUUGAGAGUAAAGUUUGGGGAACCUUUUUUUUUUUUUUUUAACAUCAACAUGAAUAGAAAUAUACAUUUAAAGUUAUCAAAAUUACUAGGAAAUUUUUAUUUAAUGUUCAAAUUUCACAUUUUAAAAUGAUGAAUAAAUAUUAGAAAUCUUAUCAAAAUCUGUUUUACUUCUCUCAAUUUUCUUCUUAUAAAAUUAUCAAGGUAUUUAUAAAGCAUGUUUAGUUAAAAGCACCCCAUUAUGUGUUUUAUCAUAUUAAAACAUUUUAAUUUUUAAUUGAUUAAAAUGAACUAUGAGCCUGCUCUCUAAGUUGAAAUUACAUUUCUUCCUAAGUUUUGUGGCUGGAUGAUGCUGUUCUUUUACAACAUUAUUUUAAAUAAAUGUGUGAAUACAAAGCACUGAGCUUGUUUUAAAUACUCUACAAACCUGACAAUGUUCUUUUUCUUGAUCUGGUUACACGAGUGUGUUCAGUUUGUGUGUUAAUUAAUCAAGCUCUAUGUUCAUGAUAUAUAUACAAUUUUGUGAGUGUAUAUAAAACAUUUUAAUUACAAUUGUUUUCCAAUUCAAUAAAUAUUUCAACUUAAUGAACAUUUAAUAAAUAGUUCAGUAAACAUUACCCUGAUAAAAGAAACCUAUACCAAGACAGCACAUCUACUACCCUUAAAGCAGGUGUUUUGUGAGACUUUAUGCAUAUCCCCAAAGUGCUGAUAUCGCUGAUAUUAUUUGGGAAAUGUCUCAUUGGUGGUUUAAGGAGAGUUUCAAAAUAGUCUUUAGUGUGACAUCCGUCACCCCCCCGUGCUUACUUUAUAGUCCCACACAUCUUAUUCUAUUUUGUUUUGUUUUACUCAUCAUCCACCUUAACACAAUUACCCAUUAGUCUUGGCUGCAAAUGUCAUUUAAUGCUGUUUAAAAAAUUCAAAUCCACCAUCAAAAACAAAGUUUUCUCAUAAAACAGAUAUUCGAAAAUGUACUACCAGCAUAGAAAGCAGUUCACAAAUGUGAGUUCCAAAAUAUAUUUUGGACAAGGGCAGUCA